ACUUCGAAUCCCUAGUACGGCGAGUGAAGCGGGAAGAGCUCAAAUUUGAAAUCUGGUAGCCUUCGGUUGCCCGAGUUGUAAUCUAGAGAAGUGUUUUCCGUGCCGGCCCAUGUACAAGUCCCUUGGAACAGGGCGUCAUAGAGGGUGAGAAUCCCGUCCUUGACAUGGACCCCCGGUGCUUUGUGAUACACUUUCAACGAGUCGAGUUGUUUGGGAAUGCAGCUCAAAAUGGGUGGUGAAUUCCAUCUAAAGCUAAAUAUUGGCGAGAGACCGAUAGCGAACAAGUACCGUGAGGGAAAGAUGAAAAGCACUUUGGAAAGAGAGUUAAACAGUACGUGAAAUUGUUGAAAGGGAAACGAUUGAAGUCAGUCAUGCUCUUGGGACUUACCUCCCUUGAGUGGGGUCAACAUCAGUUUUGAUCGAUGGAUAAAGGCACGGGGAAGGUAGCACUCUCGGGUGAACUUAUAGCCUCGCGUCAUAUACAUUGAUUGGGACUGAGGAACGCAGCAUGCCUUUUGGCCGGGAUUCGUCCACGUACAUGCUUAGGAUGUUGACAUAAUGGCUUUAAACGACCCGUCUUGAACAA
rnacentral:rRNA from 1 species